GUCCCAGUUCAGAUCGCAGUCUGCAACCCGACUGCGUGAAGUCGGAAUCGCUAGUAAUCGCGGAUCAGCAUGCCGCGGUGAGUACGUUCCCGGGCCUUGUACACACCGCCCGUCACACCAUGAGAGUCGGGAACACCCGAAGUCCGUAGCCUAACCGCGGAGGGGGGCGCGGCCGAAGGUGGGUUCGAUAAUUGGGGUGAAGUCGUAACAAGGUAUC
rnacentral:rRNA from 1 species